rnacentral:rRNA from 1 species
AUUGAACGCUGGCGGCAGGCCUAACACAUGCAGGUCGAACGGUAACAGGAAGCAGCUUGCUGCUUUGCUGACGAGUGGCGGACGGGUGAGUAAUGUCUGGGAAACUGCCUGAUGGAGGGGGAUAACUACUGGAAACGGUAGCUAAUACCGCAUAACGUCGCAAGACCAAAGAGGGGGACCUUCGGGCCUCUUGCCAUCGGAUGUGCCCAGAUGGGAUUAGCUAGUAGGUGGGGUAACGGCUCACCUAGGCGACGAUCCCUAGCUGGUCUGAGAGGAUGACCAGCCACACUGGAACUGAGACACGGUCCAGACUCCUACGGGAGGCAGCAGUGGGGAAUAUUGCACAAUGGGCGCAAGCCUGAUGCAGCCAUGCCGCGUGUAUGAAGAAGGCCUUCGGGUUGUAAAGUACUUUCAGCGGGGAGGAAGGGAGUAAAGUUAAUACCUUUGCUCAUUGACGUUACCCGCAGAAGAAGCACCGGCUAACUCCGUG